ensembl:snRNA LOC120098045 U6 spliceosomal RNA
GUGCUCACUUUAGCAGCACAUACACUAAAAUUGGAAUGAUACAGAGAAGAUUAGCAUGGCUCUUUUCAAGGAUGACACGCAAAUUCGUGAAGUGUUCCAUAUUGAA